AAGGAGCAGCGGACAAGCCCCGCUUGGCGCACAUCCAAGCUUACACAUGCAUACACAUACACGCACCCGAGUAGCCUUUCUGUGAACUCUACCUCGACGAGCAUCGACAGUGGCGCUCGCACAUAUCAUAGAAACUCAGCGGCGCACGCAUUUUUUUUGGGGAGAGGGAGGCGGGUCUGAAAAGACGUAACAGCACUAGAGAACAUAGAACUGUGUUUUUUGUGGUUGGUUUGCAUUCGUUGAGCUCUUUUUUGCUGCUGUUCUGAGUGGAGGUUGUUUCUCCUUGACGUGGCGGCCAGAAGCUACGCUGUGAAAACACAGAGAGAGAGUGAUAGGCGCCACAUACACUAGGCGCAUAGACGGCAGAACACACAUCCACACACACACACACACACGGAAAGAAGCGAAGAAAGAGUGCUCACAAGGUAAAACAACAGGAAAUCGGCACGCUCACUUCAUCGCCUGCGUCGUCUUUUCUCUUUUUUCCUUGUGUACUUUGCGGCACGGCAUGGCCUCCUACAACCCCGCCCCGCUGCCGGUGCGCUUCGACAGCAAUGUUAGCCUCACCUUACACGAGGCGUUUCUCUCCACAGCCGGUGUGCUGCUCAGCGAUCCCGUAGCGCGCGUCCAUGUUGUCACGGUCAAGAGACUGCACGCAUCGCCGCCCUCCUCCGUAUCCAAUGCAAAUCCUCGCAGCUGCGGCAACGCCGCAGCGGAGGAGGGAAUCCGCACAGUGCUGAACUCGAAGGAGGUGGCCAAGUCUAAGCCGCACUUCUUCACCGCACACCCCAAGUUCAACGAGACGUUCAACUUUACCGUGGCAGAGACGAGUACCCUGACGUCACUGUCGAUUCCAGGAAAGGCAGUUCCGGACAGAGUUAACGCUUCCGCCCAAUGCCGUAGGAAACGGGAGGGUGGUAGUAGCUGCAGCGAAAGCGUCGUGGACUACGUGGUCGUCACGAUCGAGUCCGUCGACGGCACAGUCUUCUAUGGCGAGGCAUACGCGCCUUUCAGCCCACACUGUGCCAGCUCUGCUCCCGCCGCAAGCCCGGUGCGUGUGAUGCUGGCCCCUCGCAACGCCCAGGACACCGCAGACCCACUUUUUCUGCUGGACAAUGCGCUGCUGGAAGCGAAGCACCUCGACGACUUUGGGUUUGUGACAAUGAGCUGGGAGGUGGCAGUGGUGCCGCACGGUGGGGCGCUGAUGGGAACUGAGCCUCCGCUUACCUCCUCCGCACCCUCUGGUAAUGCUUCACCGUUCCCAGUAGGGUUGACACUGCGGGCAACGUGGCUGGCACGCGCCACCGCCUAUGUGCGCGGUGCCCAUUACACCACAUCCGUCGAGUUCGGAGGACAGGACCGCUUCAUUUUCUCCGAUCCUCUGCAGCCGCUGUGUUUGACGCUGCAGGGAGGGUCUGCCGAGACGGAGCUGCGGCGCGCCGUCUUCCACUGCUCUGUCCAGAGCGUUGUCGAUCCCACCAAGUCGCAUGACGUUGCGGUGCCACUGCCGCUCCCGCCGCUGACCUUCGCUUCGGCCCGCAACCGCGACGUUCGGUGGGCGGCGCCUGUCCGCACCAUCAACGGCGUCGACCUCGGCUUGCUGCUCGUGACGAUGCGAGUGUCCAGCAAGCCACUCUCCGCCGAUGCGCCGCGCUGCCCGGACGCGGCGUGCACGCGCAUCAAUGACCCAGCUCAUCAAGAAGAGUACCAGCACGUGGCACAGCUCUGGGGGAAGUCACAGCCGCCACAAGCGCCGCUUGGCGCCUAUCAGCCCAUUGCUUGGGAGUCGCAGCAGCACGUCGCUGAGGCUGCGCGGCGCCAGUUGAAGCGGCAGUGCAUCCUGGAAGCACAGCCCACCGCGGAGCAUGUGCGUCACAUCUUCGAUGUUCUCAUGGGCCGCGCUUCGCUCGACGGCGGGGUGGCGCAGUUGGCAGCGACGUUCAGCGGCAAAAGUGUUGCAGAGGUGACUGCCGGAGAUCUGCGGGAGCUGAUGGUGGGCUGCGCCUUCCACGCGGCACAGAUGUCGGUGCAAGAUGCAGCGCGCUUCUGCUUCGUGGCGCUGCGCCGCGACGUCGAGGAUGCCGUAGCGGCUGAGGAGGUGCAGUACAUAGUGGAUUACUGCCUGCUGGAGAAGACGAUCGAGAUGCCGACAGGAGAAAGGAAGCGCCUCGUCGCCGACCUCUUCGCCGACGUAGGCACCAUCUCCUACCACGACUUCGCGAAGUACCUGCUGCACAACUACGCCGUGUGGGCGGCACUCGGCGUCCCGCUUACUGUGGACGAAUCGGUGUCGAACGUGCAGCGUCAGCAUGCUGCCCUUCUUCACGCGCCAGGAUCAGGCGCGGCCGUAUUGGACGUCGCAGCCCUUCCUCAGCCACCCCGGGCGACGACUGGUGCGCCAGUGACGACGGCAGCGGCAACCGCCACGCAGGGCUCCGCUGUGGCCCUCGCGGCCGCCCUCUCCGACCCUGCCUCGUCAACUAUGUGGCGGACCUUUGUGGUGCGCGUCGCGCAGGCGCCCCAGAAGGCGUUCAGCGUGACUGCCCACGCGGCAGACCGUAUUAGCGACAUCAUGGCUAUGGUGGAAAAGAGCACUGGCAUCAAGGCCGAGCGUCAGGAGUGGAAGAUGUUCAGCGGUGGCGCAGAGGGUGCUGGUGUGUCUUCUGCAGCAGCGCAGAAGUCGCUCGAUCCCGCGACGCUAGUGGGAAGUACGACGCUUGGUCUCCCGUCGGCACUGCGCAGCCGUACAGCUCCGUUCACGUCCUCAACCUCUGGCAGCAACGCCGCGCAAGAGGUCUGGAUCUAUGAGGCUGAGGAGGCCGUCCAAGUGCGUUUUCAUGUCAAAGAUCGACUGCACAGCACAAAGGACUGGCAGGAGCGACUGCCGGUGAAGGAGAAGGUGCUGAAAGUGCGCGCCGCAGUGCAGCGCAGGACGCUCAUCCCACUCUCCCGAUGUACCCUCACAGUGAGGCACAGCAAUGGCAUGGUGACGAAGCUGCAGGACCGCCACACGCUUGGCCACUAUCACCUUAUGAGCGGCGAUGUCAUCGAGGUCUCGCACGAGUAACCGUGUCAGCGCCCCAGUGCGUGUGCGGCAGCGGUGCAAAUGACAUGAACGGAGACGACGCGGAGCCUGCUUCUUUUGUUUGUUUGCCUAGGAGGGGGUGUUCGCUGUGCUUGGAUGCUUGCGCGUGUGCGUCUGUGCGCUUUUCAGGGUACUGAGCGCUGCAUGCAUGGCAGACGGUGCUGCACACGGACCCUGUUUGAGUGGGUGGGGGUGGGCUGAGUCUUUAUAAGACCUUUUGCUCCUUCUCGCUCCUGUGUGUCUUUGUGUGCACAGGUGCUUCUCCACCCGCGUGCACGAUACAGGUGGGCAAGGGGGACACGCAAACACAUGCGUGUACAUCAUUAGUGCCGGGAUAGAGUCUGCAAGGUGUGCAUGGGCAGAUGUGUAAUGCUCUCUCGUCCCGGGUCCACAACUGUUUUGGUUUGGCUGCUGUUUCGUUUUUUCGCUGCUCUGUCGCUCUGUGUGUGUUUGCGUCACCGCUUGUCUGCCUGCACAUGCGGCACCUCUGUUGCUUUUAUUUUGUUACGUGCUUACUUCCUCCUUGAGAGGAUUUGAUUUUUGAUGGCACACAUGUCGUGUGUGGGUUUGCCUGAAACAGUAGCAGCCAAUGUCUUUACUUCCAGCGUCAGAUGUUGUGCUGUGUGUUCUUGCUGCCUCGUUGUUGGUUUUUUUUCGAGGAAGAGCUAGCGAGAACGAGAGCGGACAACCCGCCGGGGAGACCAAACAAAAAGCAGAUGCAUGCAGAGAUUGCAAGAGUGCACCAAUCUCUGCAGCGAAGACGUGGGUCGAUGUGUGCUGUGCAUGAAAGCGCCCUCAUCCUUCUUUUUCCCUCUUCGGCACCGGCGCAUGCACAUCAGCAAAGGUACCUCAGGCGCCUGCACCGUUUGCGGUGGCGAGCGUGUGUGUGCACGCGCAUGUGUGUGUGUGUGUGUGUGUGGGGGGGGGGGGGGGGGGGGGGGGGGGGGGGGGGGUAGAGGCAGCGCAUUGACCCCUCUCCGUUAAGUGCGAUUCCCACGCAUACGGUGACCAGCGCCUUGGUGUGCUGCCCCUCCCCCAUAAACGCGUCUAUUUUCUAGUGUAAAGAGAAAACGGUUGCAGCAGUGUUUCGUCCUUGC
rnacentral:misc_RNA from 1 species